GGAUUGCCUCAGUAACGGCGAGUGAAGCGGCAACAGCUCAAAUUUGAAAUCUGGCCCCCUCNGGCCGAGUUGUAAUUUGCAGAGGGUGCUUUGGUGUUGGCUGUGGUCCAAGUUCCCUGGAACAGGACGUCGCAGAGGGUGAGAACCCCGUACGUGGCCGCCAGCCUUCGCCGUGUAAAGCCCCUUCGAAGAGUCGAGUUGUUUGGGAAUGCAGCUCUAAAUGGGAGGUAAAUUCCUUCUAAAGCUAAAUAUUGGCCAGAGACCGAUAGCGCACAAGUAGAGUGAUCGAAAGAUGAAAAGCACUUUGGAAAGAGAGUGAAACAGCACGUGAAAUUGUUGAAAGGGAAGCGCUUGGAGCCAGACGUGCCCGCAGUUGCUCAGCCGGGGUUCUCCCCGUGCACUCUUCUGCGGGCAGGCCAGCAUCAGUCUGGGCGGUCGGACAAAGGCCUGCUAAA
rnacentral:rRNA from 1 species